rnacentral:rRNA from 1 species
UACGUAGGCAGCGAGCGUUGUUCGGAAUUACUGGGCGUAAAGAGUGUGUAGGCGGUGCUCCCAGUCUGUUGUGAAAUCUCCCGGCUUAACUGGGAGGGUGCAGCGGAAACUAGAGUGCUAGAGGGUGGGAGAGGUAAGCGGAAUUCCUGGUGUAGCGGUGAAAUGCGUAGAUAUCAGGAGGAACACCGGUGGCGAAGGCGGGUCUCUGGGCCGAUACUGACGCUGAGGAGCGAAAGCGUGGGGAGCGAACAGG